rnacentral:rRNA from 1 species
CCUACGGGAGGCAGCAGUGGGGAAUAUUGCACAAUGGGCGCAAGCCUGAUGCAGCCAUGCCGCGUGUGUGAAGAAGGCCUUCGGGUUGUAAAGCACUUUCAGCGGGGAGGAAGGCGUUAAGGUUAAUAACCUUGGCGAUUGACGUUACCCGCAGAAGAAGCACCGGCUAACUCCGUGCCAGCAGCCGCGGUAAUACGGAGGGUGCAAGCGUUAAUCGGAAUUACUGGGCGUAAAGCGCACGCAGGCGGUCUGUCAAGUCGGAUGUGAAAUCCCCGGGCUCAACCUGGGAACUGCAUUCGAAACUGGCAGGCUAGAGUCUGGUAGAGGGGGGUAGAAUUCCAGGUGUAGCGGUGAAAUGCGUAGAGAUCUGGAGGAAUACCGGUGGCGAAGGCGGCCCCCUGGACAAAGACUGACGCUCAGGUGCGAAAGCGUGGGGAGCAAACAGGAUUAGAUACCCCAGUAGUC